rnacentral:tRNA from 1 species
GGGGAUAUAUUUAAUUAUAAUAAUUGAAUUGCAGUCAAUAGGUGUUAUCUAUAACUAUCCUUA